rnacentral:lncRNA from 1 species
CCCCUACAGGCAUCUUCUAGUUCAGUUGGAUUUUCCACUCCUCAGGAUAAACAAGAUUCAUGAGGACUGUGCCACCUGCAUCACAGAACAAGAGAGGCCCACCUUGGAGCACCCAGAGAGCAGUAACUGUAGGGAUCCAGAAGUUGAUUCCAAAGGGAAUGAGAAGCACCGUCUCCCUGGUGGUGGAAGAUACUUACAUGCACACGACUAGGCUCUAGCAAGUUCUACAACCAUAGGCAGCUACCUUCUCUUGGUUGCCUCAGUGAUGCAACAAGUCAGUUCUUCUUGUGUGAAGCUCAUUUGGAGCAGGCAGAGCAAGAGGCACUGGGCAGAUACUGAGGAAAGCAUAGGCACUUAGGGCAGGCUCGUGGGAAGCCCCGAAGGGAGACUUUCUACCCCAAAGGUGUCUCUUUCACCUCCUCCUUCACUGACAUCCAAAACCUCACCCUCAUAGCUGCCGUCUCCUCUCUGAAUUAUGGGAAAAGUCAUUUUCAAAUAAAGCUGUGUUCUUCAUUU